rnacentral:misc_RNA from 1 species
AUUUAUUAAUAAAUUACUUACUUAAGUGUUGAUUGAAAAGAUUGAAUAAAUAAUGAUGAUAAUCGUUUCAUAACUACAAAAUAAAAUUAUAUAAAAUUACUAUUAAACUCACUUAAAGUUUUUAAAACCCUCAACGUCUCAUACUCAUCAAAAUUUAAUAUAAGAAUAGAAAAAAUUUCUUUUUUUUUUAAAUUACCAUUAAAUCCUUAAAAA